UACGUAGGUGGCAAGCGUUGUCCGGAAUUAUUGGGCGUAAAGCGCGCGCAGGCGGUCCUUUAAGUCUGAUGUGAAAGCCCACGGCUCAACCGUGGAGGGUCAUUGGAAACUGAGGAACUUGAGUACAGAAGAGAAGAGCGGAAUUCCACGUGUAGCGGUGAAAUGCGUAGAGAUGUGGAGGAACACCAGUGGCGAAGGCGGCUCUUUGGUCUGUAACUGACGCUGAGGCGCGAAAGCGUGGGGAUCAAACAGG
rnacentral:rRNA from 1 species